rnacentral:misc_RNA from 1 species
AAUUCUCAACCUUGCAAGCUUUUUUGCUAGUGAGGCUUGGAUGUGAGGGCUUUGCUGGCUUCCUUCAGUUGGAUGGUCUGCUCCCUUUAAAUUCAUUAGUGGAUUCCUUUGUGGAUGGUCACUUGGUGUGAUAAUUAUCUACGCCGCCUGACUCUGAUACAAGACUUGUGGGGACCUGCUUAUAACCGUCUCUUCAAGAGACAAUCUAUAUUGACA